rnacentral:rRNA from 1 species
AACGAACGCUGGCGGCAUGCCUAACACAUGCAAGUCGAACGAGACCUUCGGGUCUAGUGGCGCACGGGUGCGUAACGCGUGGGAACCUGCCCUUAGGUUCGGAAUAACUCCCCGAAAGGGGUGCUAAUACCGGAUAAUGUCUUCGGACCAAAGAUUUAUCGCCUUUGGAUGGGCCCGCGUUGGAUUAGCUAGUUGGUAGGGUAAAAGCCUACCAAGGCGACGAUCCAUAGCUGGUCUGAGAGGAUGAUCAGCCACACUGGGACUGAGACACGGCCCAGACUCCUACGGGAGGCAGCAGUGGGGAAUAUUGGACAAUGGGCGAAAGCCUGACGGAGCAACGCCGCGUGAGUGAUGAAGGUCUUCGGAUCGUAAAACUCUGUUAUUAGGGAAGAACAAAUGUGUAAGUAACUAUGCACGUCUUGACGGUACCUAAUCAGAAAGCCACGGCUAACUACGUG